GUUCCAUGCUGGGAUUCUUCAGGAACAGAAUAAUGGAGCUGCCCAUUCCCCAUUUCCCAGGCUCUGUGGAACAGAAUCAACUGCAGCAUCCAGCUCUUCACCAAGGGGCACUGGUGCAAAACAGCCAUAGUUAAUGUUCAACUUCAUUGCGCUUGCAGUAAAAAGGACACUCUCCUAUCAUCACACAGGAAGUAGAGAUAAUUGAAGGUGCCUCAUAGCAAGCCACACCAGGUUCAACGUGCCCAGCAUAGUCUUCUUUUCAAAGUCUUCAACAGCAGAAUACUUUCCUACUGUCUGCUCUCUGGAGAUACAGAAACUGAUUUUCAUACAUGGGAAAUAUGACCUCUAUUCUUCAAAUGAAAUGUGGUUACUCCCUUUGGGUAUUAUUUGUUUAUUUUCUGAGUAAGAUUUUCCCUGCCAUUUUAACCAUAAUUUCUGGUUCUUUUUUAUUAUUCAGAAAUACUAUCUACUGUUUCUACAUUGCCAUAUCAUAGCACAAUUUAACUGCAUUGAACUGAAUUAUCGGAAUCUACACCGCCAUAUAAUGAAGUUCAGUGCAGUAAAACUACAGUAUGUUAUGAAUCUGCAUUAUAUUGUAGGUGAGACCUAAGUCUUCUGUAUCAAUUUAAUAUUUUCUGAUCAAAACAAUGUCCACAGCAUGUAAAACAAGAAUUUGUAUAAAACAACUUCUCUGAGUAAGCUGGGGGAAUAAAUGGUUUUGUUCUCUU